rnacentral:lncRNA from 1 species
GUUUUUUCCGCGGCACGAGCAUGACAACUGGCCGACCUUUACCCAAAAGAAGUUGUUUCCGCUGUUGGACCCGUCACCAAGGGGUGAUUUGGCUAUCGAACAAAUCCAGUGGUCCCGCGGAUACGAGUGGCCGCAGUGUGGGAGGCCGUGCAAGCGUAGGAACACCUCUCCAAGGACAUGCUGAUGCAACUUCCACUGCUCAUGAUGGUUGAGAUUACAGGUGUCCGGAGUGUCCUCAGUACCACGCAAGUAGCACACACACUUUGAACAUAUGGUGGUCAUUUUGUGGGUACACAAACUUAUGUGCUCGGCUGGCUUCCAGCUUUCUUUAUUCACAAAACAAGGUAACCACCUCCACAGUGUGCCCACAAUCACAUUUCUGGAGAGCAACCAACAAUGUUCGCUGUUCUGUGAUGAUGCUGCUGUUGGCACACAAGCCAACCUGGUGUGUGGUGAGAAGUGCAGCUUUCAUCGGUGCAGCGCCCGGUAUAGCUGCUUGGCAUACUUGGUAGCGCUCUUUGGAAUGUUGCAAGUUGUGUCUUGGUAGGCAAAUAUUGAGGCUUGUGUCAAACAUGUAGCACAACCUGUAGGAAAGCAGCAUUUUAGUUUUCAUAUAGGCACUACCUACUUUGAAACUUUGACGUACUACAAGGUGGAUGGAAAGUAACUCCCUAUUAAGAAUUGUUUACAACUUCUACAAUACUUAACCAUUUUUAAUGAAACAAAAAUCAUUCUGUUCCUUCCAUUUGGAGAAUUUGUUACAUAUCUAGCUAGAAAAUGCAGACACUCAUAUAUUUUUGGUAUUUCUGUUUUCUUGUUAGUGGUCCAGUAACAGCUAUGCCCCAAGUUGAUUUUUCUUAUCUUCUACUAUCACCAUAUGCACACCAAUUAUCUGUUCAGCGUGAUAUUUCCAACAGCAAGUUGCAAAUAAACAUCCAUCCCAUCUA